CUCCGCCGGCGACCGGCGCACGGGUGAGUAACACGUAUCCAACCUGCCGAUGACUCGGGGAUAGCCUUUCGAAAGAAAGAUUAAUACCCGAUGGCAUAGUUCUUCCGCAUGGUAGAACUAUUAAAGAAUUUCGGUCAUCGAUGGGGAUGCGUUCCAUUAGCUUGUUGGCGGGGUAACGGCCCACCAAGGCAUCGAUGGAUAGGGGUUCUGAGAGGAAGGUCCCCCACAUUGGAACUGAGACACGGUCCAAACUCCUACGGAAGGCAGCAG
rnacentral:rRNA from 1 species